AAGCUCUUAGGCGCAACCAUUUCGAGCCCAAAUCCAAAGGCCUCAAAUUUAUCCCUCUAUCCCUCCCACUCACUGACCAUUGCUCUUUUUCUCUCUAAAACAGAAGCAAAAUCCCCAAAAUGCCCUCACCGUCGCUCCGGUUAUCCGCCACCGCUCACCACCUCCAUCACUUGGGGUUCAACCACACACUCUCCUCCUCGGCAGCCCAAAACCUCUUCACCUCUCUCUCCUUUCCCUCCUCCACUUUCCCAAAAUACCCUCGGAAGCUCGCUGCCCAGUGCCAGAAGAAACCAGCACCCAACAACAACGGUGGUAGAGCCAAGGUCAAGGGCAAAGCGGAAAAUGUGUGGAGCGUGGACAACGAGCUCGCUGCGAUGGAGAAAGAGAGAGGGAGAAGCCCGAAGAGGAGAGGCAAAAGGAGGAUUGUGAGGAGGAAGAGAAGUGAAGGCGGUGGCGGGAAAGGUGUGUUGGUCUCUGGUGCUAUGUUAAUGGAGGUCGAGACCGUUCUUCAAACUCAGGAACCUGUGAUAAGACCAGCAUGGACAACAUUUGCUAGUAGUGUCAGUUGGAUAUGGAAGGGCGUUGGAGCAGUAUUUUCACCCAUCAAUGCUGAAAUGGAGCCAAUUGAAAUCGGAAGCAGGGAUGAACAUCUAUAUGAUUGCUAUACUCUUUCCCACAUUGAGGCCGUGCCAUCCUAUUCUGGAGGGCGAACAUCUCAAAUCAAAAGGAAGAUUAAUUGGGUGACUUUAAAUCCUUACGGUGAAAUACCACAACAUAUUAGAGGAAGCAAUAGAAUGAAAGAAGAGCAUGAAGGCGGAGACGCCGCUUCACACAAAAACGAUAUUGAUGGAAGCAGAAAAAAACAUGUUUUGCCUGAAUUUGAGUCUUUUGAUUUUGGAAGAAGUGACGUGAUGGAAGAAGAUGUCAUGGAUAAGGAACCUGGUCUUGUUUUCUUUGAGGAUGGAUCUUAUUCUAGGGGUCCCGUUGAUAUCCCGGUUGGUGAAGAUGAUGACUCUAAGUAUUACCUUUCACCAACUUUCAAAUUUGAACAAUGCUUGGUUAAAGGUUGCCACAAGAGGCUACGUAUCGUUCAUACUAUAGAAUUCAGCAAUGGUGGUUCAAGCAUACAGAUAAUGAGAGUUGCUGUUUAUGAAGAACAGUGGGUUAGUCCUGCCAAUCUUCCUGACCCAAGUGAUCUGGAGUUCGAUUUGAAACCAUUUUCUCAGCGCAAACGAACCCGACCAUCAGAGCUGACUGGGUCAUGGAAGGUGUUUGAGGUCAGUGGCACUCCAGUAUUUGGUGAGGAGAUAGACCAGAUGGUAAUGGAGCAAAACGAUAGUACUCCGUAUGUCUUAUCUUUGCACAGAAACUCUAAAGAAGAGGAGCUUGCCGGGGAAUCCAGCUUACUUUGGAGAAGAAGAGAUGCUAGACAUGCAAGAUGUGACUAUGCUUUGGCUUCCGGGUGGUGUCACGGCCUAUGUUGAUGUAAACCAGGAUGGCAUCCUUUGCAUUGGAGUCGGAUGGUACUCAGAUGAAGGGAUCAACCUUGCUAUGGAGAGGGAUUAUGGAGUAGAUGGGAAACUCAAGGAGGUCCGAUCAAAGUCGGAGGUAAAAAGAAGGUGGUCUGAUCCACAAUCUGUGUAAAUUUUCCUUGAAAACAGUUUUGGUUUGUUUCUUUGUACUGAUUAUUAC